ACCUGUUGGAAGCAGUCGGCGAAGGUGGAAUCAAUAACUGGGGUGAAGUCGUAACAAGGUAGCCGUAUCGGAAGGUGCGGCUGGAUCACCUCCUUUCUAAGGAGA
rnacentral:rRNA from 1 species